ensembl:lncRNA
CUGCUUCUGUAAACUUGCUUCAUCGCUUCUCGGAAAGAGAUAGUGCCUGGUGCCUCCCUUUACUGUAAAUUGCCCUAACCUGACACAGCGAGAUAGCUGAGUUGUGAAAAAUACUUUUGCAACUAGUCAAAAACAUGUUAACCUCCCCUUGAACUUCUCUUCUUAAAAUAACACCUAUAAAAGCUAUGCUGCUAUGACACCCUAUAUAAACUAUGCUUUUCCUGGACUCAGGGCUUCACUUCGCUUAGGGAGUGGAGUAAACGCGUGAAUAAACUCCUUUCAGUUUUAACUUUGUCGUUGGUCCCAGUGUUUGGUGAUUUAUCGGCUUGCUUGGCACAACAAGCACCUUUGACUUCAGGACUCGCUUGUCUGGGGGUGUGAGGCUGGCCCUGGGCACACAGAGGGGCGGCUGUGCUGCCCAGCACGGGCCCUUCGGAUUCAGCAUCUGCAGAAGCAGGGCGUGUUGUGUCUACUCUGCCGCUGGCGGCAUGACAGCGGAGGCGCACUCUAUGGCCUUCCUGCAGCUCUUCAGCUCUGUACAGCUCACUGAGCAGCCGGGUCACCUGUGCAGCCUCAGACGCACGGCUGCACGGAGACUUGGAGAAAAAGCAGUUCAUGCUGCUGAAUCCUCAGGAAGUUUGUUUCCAGUUGAGACAUUCCUCAGCAUGAAGGACUAAGAGUCUAGGCCUUGCCAUCCCUGCAGACUCAGGGAGCCUCUGAGAGCACCUGGGAUAGGAGAAAGGGAACAGCCAUGGAGAGCCAAGGGUGCACUGGGGACCCUGGAAGUGACUGUGGGCCUGGCCCAGAGCUUUCCAAACAGACACAACUCUGCAGUUUCCAUUCCACUCCAGAACAAGCAGACGUUCUGGUGGCUUAAGUCUAAGAUGAGCAGGUGAGCAUCUCUGUGUGGACGCUGCCAUAUCACAAGGCCUUGAGGGACCUGCAUUUUCACACCUGUGCUCUCACUGUCCACAGUGAAUAGAGAGAGGCUCAGAGGUGAAAGACUCACUUACCUGAGCCAACCAGGAUUCCCGCCAGAGCUACUGCACCGCUCUGGACUUUGCAUGUAACUUGCCAUUGCUAUUAUUUUGCAUUUCCACUUGACAGUGAGUCAGCCAUUACCUCUGAGACCGUGAGGUCAUAGAAUCUUAGAGUAGCCUGAAGACCUCAUGUGGUAGAAUUUACCUCCUACCCAGCACAUGUCAGAACCUGUGUGUAUUUAGUAGGGCACAACUGCUCUGGAACACCAAGGGUGUGUGCUUUUGUGUGUGUGUGUGUGUGUGUGUGUGCGCGCGCGCACGCUGUGCAUCUGAAUUGCUGAGUUCUCAGGCCAAAGAUUCCUUUCUAUGAGAAAUAGGUCAUCUAAAGCACCCUAAAAGCAGGAGCUUGACAGGGGUGGUAGUCUCACCUGCACAAAGAGGGUGGGACUGCUCUUUUGCUGAUGGGAUUGGCCCGUCCUUUGAGAGUUGGCAUGAGAGGAAGUACAAGGCUUUCAGUGCUGAUGCUUCAGUGGUGACUCCAGGAUGCUCCCACAGGAUGGAGGGGACUCAUUCCAGAGCUCAGCAUGUCAGCCCCUGUUCUGGACUCUGGCAUGCUGCUGAGUCCCACAGUGAUGGGUGUCAAUGCCUGCCUCUGAGAGUGCUUUGAGCAGUCAGCUGCCAGGGGCCACCUUGUCCAGGGGUCCACCCCCGGGAUGUCCCAUGUCCAGUGAAGGGCUGGCUGAGCCCUUCCUACUUUCUGGGUCUGUCCUACUCCCUUCCUACCUCCUCCUGAGGUGUCGAGGUCAGAGGCUAUCACUAACGAACAUCCUGCAGGUCUGUCUCUGCUCUGUGUCUGCAUUCUGGGGAGCUCAGCUGUGACGACCAUCUGCCCUGGAGAUGCUCAAAGAAGAGGGCUGAGGAAGCAUGCAUGCUAGAUUUAUAUACAGUCCUAUCUGGGCACCUGCUGGGAAUCCAAAAUGCCCAAGUCCUCUAUGUAAAAUGUGGUGGUGUUUGUGGAGAACUUACUCAUAUCCUUCUGUACACCUUCAAGCAUGUCUAGGUGACUUAUCCCACCUAACGCAGUAUGAAUAAUGUGUACAUGGCCAUCCCACUGUGUUGUGUAGGCAAUAAUUACAAGAAAAAUGUCUGUACAUACUCAAUUCUUCCCAAAUAUUUUGAUCUUUGAUUGAAUCAUCAGAUAUAGAUUCUAAAGACAUAGAGAGCUGACUGUACCAUAUAUGUGUGUAAAUGUAUUCAAUAUGUAAAAAUAUUUGCAGUUUAAUGUAUGCAUACAAAUAUGUAAAAUAUGUAUUUAUAUAUAAAUACACACCCAGAAGCUCUUUUAUCUAAUGCCUGUGAAACUGUAACUGUUAAGUAAAAGGCCACAUCAUGUAAAGGAG